GAUGAACGCUGGCGGCGUGCUUAACACAUGCAAGUCGAACGGGACUCUUCGGAGUUCAGUGGCGACCGGGUGAGUAACACGUAGACGACCGACCAUCGAGUGGGGAACAACUGGCCGAAAGGACAGCUAAUACCGCGUACGGUUCAUGUCGCAGGACAUGAAAGAAAGCCGCAAGGCGCUGGAUGGAGGGUCUGCGACCCAUCAGGUAGUUGGCGGGGUAACGGCCCACCAAGCUGAUGACGGGUAGGGGGUGUGAGAGCAUGACCCCCCACACUGG
rnacentral:rRNA from 1 species